GCCAGGCGUGGUGGCGUGUGCCUGUAAUCCCAGCUACUUGGGAGGCUGAGGCAGGAGAAUCGCUUGAACCCAGGAGGCGGAGGUUGCAAUGAGCCGAGACCUCGCCAUUGCACUCCAGCCUGGGUGACAGAGUGAGACUCCGUCUCAA
ensembl:misc_RNA Metazoa_SRP Metazoan signal recognition particle RNA